rnacentral:lncRNA from 1 species
CAUACAUGAAACCCUAAUCGUUCUCUCAACUCAGCCUUCAUUUGUUGUGUAAUUCAUCAACAUCGACCCACUCCAUGAACCGAUUAUCUUCUCCUGAUUCCUAGAUCUGCGCAAGCGGGUGUUCAAUCGACUAAAAUCUUGCGUGUCAUACGUUUCUGCCAUGUGAUGCUUCAAAUGCCGCAUAUUAGCUUCUGAAUGACCAGAUCAGUUGUUGCUUUGUUGGAGAUUUCAUAA